UAAGAGAACCUGCGGCACAUGGGCGGAUGCGGCUCCCUAUAUACAACUCGGUCACCAUGGGGAUGGGCCGGGGCCUUUUCCUGUUGGUCCAGACCCCUCGAUCUGCCCAGAGAAGCCAUGACAGGAGAGUGGUGAUUGGUGCAAGCGACAUGGGAUGAGGGUUCAGUGCCUAUCGAACUAUAUUGAAUGAAUUGGCUUUUAUUAUGUGUGGCCAUUAAAGAUUAUCCACUGAAUUCACCUUGGUCAAAUUCCAACACUAAUAAUUUAGAAGUUCAAAAGGCACAGGGAGGCAUGGACUAGCCAGGCAGGAUUUCAUGGAGUAAUGACCUUGAAGCUGAGCCUUGAAUGGUCCUGAGAUGUGCAUAGGGUAAGUACUGCUGCAGGUGAGGAGGUGGCAAAAGUGCUAGAAGCAGGAAUGAGCAAGACCUUGUUCUGGAUGAUGAAGCAACCAGCCUGACACAGCAGGGGUGGAGCUGAUGGGAAGGGCUAGGCCAGCUGUGAAAGCCUUUAAAGCAAGGCAGAGUUUAGGCUUGGUGCAUUAGCAAAGAGGGAGUCAUUAAAGGCCCUGAAUCAAUAAAGCAGUAUUAUAAAAGGGAUGUUUAAGGAAAAUGUGUUUGGCAGGAUUCAGAGACUCCAUCUGAUUAAAAUAGCCGGUGACAUCAAGCUUGAAAAAAACAUAUGAAAUUACUCUAAAUUGUUAUCAAUUCAUAUUCUCAAAUUCACUGCUUAUUUUGCUUGAUCUUUAGGAUUUAUUUAUUUUUAUAUCUAUUUCACAUUAGCCAGUUCUACCAAAUCAGUCUCCUUAAUAUUUUUCAAAUUUGUUUAUUUCUCUACAUUUCCCUUGCUAUUAUGUUAGUUCAGCCAGGAUCCUAAGAGUAAGGAGAAGUGUCAAGAAGCCUUCCUGGGAGAGAUGGCAUUUUUCCAGAGUCCUGAAUAUUCAGCAAGAGUUAACCAGGUAUGAAGGGAAGGGAUGGUAGUGGGUGGAAGUGAGGAGACAGGAAAAAGAGGAGAGGAAGGAUAGCACAGUGGGCAGAAGAAAGCAAAAAACAAACAAAAUAACAGAUAGGGACUUUGAUGCUACCAUAAGGAAAAUUGUGGCAUUAACUUGGUGAAAGGGGUCACUAGUGAGUGGUGAGGGCCCACAGAUUCCAGGAUAGAAGACUAAUGACCCUUGCAAUGUGGCAUCAAAACAUGGUCAAAAUGUCACCUCUUAUAUUCUGGAAGGCAGACCACUGCCAGUGAGGUGGAAAGGAAAGGUCCUUGGAGAGGUACGUAUGAUCUGGACCCUGAACACACAAAUAAAUUGGCCUUCUCAGUGGAGGGAACCAUGCUGGCAAAGGCAGAGUCUGCUGGUGCAAGGGAGGAGGAUCCUAAAUGCCAGCCGAGCUCUGGGGAGCUCUGGGAAGAUAAUCUGCUGAUGUGGGUGCAGGGAGCAGGGAAGUAGACCUAAAAAGGGAGAACUAAGUUUAGGCAGAAGACCCAGCCGAAGACUGCCUGCUUUUUUUAAAAAUUCUUUUUUUAAUAUGGAACACUUCACAAACUUGCAUGUCAUCCUUGCAUGGGGGCCAUGGUAAUCUCUGAAUUGUUCCAAUUUUAGUCUAUGUGCUGCCAAAAAGAGCACCUGCCUACUUAUUUUAGAGAAAUGUUGAAGAAUGAAGUGAAAACUAUAAGUUAUCUUUCAAAAUCCAGUGAGAAGUGCUAGUUUUUUUUAACAGCUGUAUUGAGAUAAAAUGUAUGUACCAUAUAACUCACCUUUUAAAAGCAUACAAUUCAAUGGUUUUUAGUACAUUCACAAAGUUAUGCAAUCAUCACCACAAUCAAUGUUAGAACAUUUUCAUCACCUCAAAAAGAAACCGUGUCCAUUUCCAUCCCCUCCCCUUGGCUCCUGGCAAUUAUUAAUCUGUUUCUAUUACUAUGGAGCUGCCUGUUCUGGACUUUUCAUACAAAUGAAAUUAUAUAAUAUGUGGUCUUUUGUGACUGGCUUCUUUCAUAACAGCUAACAUUUUCCAA